CUAAACUGUAUUAGUAACACAUCAACUUCCACUAGAGGUCAGUAGAGAGCAGAACUCACUCUGUCCAUCUUUACAGGAGAUUCAAGGGAGGAAGUGAUGCUUCAACAGACACACAGAGUGUCCGUCCUGACUGUAACAGUGACACGUACACAGGUCUGAACAUGAGGACCAUGUCCCCUGACUAUGACACUCUGGCAAAUGUCCAUCCUGACCCUAACAGUGACCCCAACAGUGACAUGUACACACCUCUGAACAUGAAGACCAGGUCACCAGAGUAUGACACCCUGGCAAAUAUGAGGGGACCCUCCCACUUAAGAGAACCACUACAGAACCUGGACUGAAGAGAACCACCACAGAACCUGCACUGAGGAGAACCACCACAGAACCUGGACUGAAGGAAAGUACUUCAGAACAUCAACUGAAGAGAACCACCACAGAUCCUUUACUGAAAAGAACCACCACAGAACCUGGACUGAAGAAAAGUACCUCAGAACAUCAACUGAAGAGAACCACCACAGAUCCUAGACUGAAGAGAACCACCACAGAUCCUGGACUGAAGAGAGCCACCACAGAUCCUGGACUGAAGAGAGCCACCACAGAUCCUGGACUGAAGAGAACCACCACAGAUCCUGGACUGAAGAGCUACGGUUCCGAUCCAAAGCCAGGCCUCACUCCUCUAUUCUCUAGCAACCAUAUCUAGGUGGUUUUACAGACCAUGAACUUUAACUUUGAGUAAAUGCUGGAAUAUAUUUUUUAUUUUCUUAUUCUGAUAAUUAUGUAUAUUGAUGAUAAAUGGGAGGGGUUAUGCUUCUGCUUUUUUUCAAUGGGAUUUUCCCAUUUCCAUAUUUUUUCUUGUGUACCAAUCUGUUUCCUAUCUAUAGUUUAAGAUAACAUUCCUGAUAUUUUUCUAAGUGGAUUUUGCCGUAUUGUUAUAACAUCAAUAGUACUACUUGCCUCAGCAACUAAUGUGGAUCAUAUUGAUAACAGCUUUCUAUUAUUUGUUUAGCUUUUGGGCCAAGUUUCUCCUGAUGUGUUUAAUGAUUUACUUUGUAUUGCUGUCAGAUAUUAUUAAUUAUUUUUAUGUUUUAUAUUACGUAAUCCUAUAUUGUUUUCUUUUAUUAAAAAAUAAUAAAUACAUUACAUAUAUUUAAGCAUUUGCAGUUUUUUACAUGUUAUAUUAAUUAUAAUUGUAUAUUAAAAACAUGUGUCUGUGUGUCUGUCUG